rnacentral:rRNA from 1 species
AAAAAUCGUAUGCUGAUGUGCUCUUCCGCGUGAGGGAGGAAGGCUCUUGGGUUGUAAACCUCUUUUCUCAGGGAAUAAAAAAAUGAAGGUACCUGAGGAAUAAGCAUCGGCUAACUCCGUGCCAGCAGCCGCGGUAAUACGGAGGAUGCAAGCGUUAUCCGGAAUGAUUGGGCGUAAAGCGUCCGCAGGUGGCACUGUAAGUCUGCUGUUAAAGAGCAAGGCUCAACCUUGUAAAGGCAGUGGAAACUACAGAGCUAGAGUACGUUCGGGGCAGAGGGAAUUCCUGGUGUAGCGGUGAAAUGCGUAGAGAUCAGGAAGAACACCGGUGGCGAAAGCGCUCUGCUAGGCCGUAACUGACACUGAGGGACGAAAGCUAGGGGAGCGAAAGGGAUUA